UCUUAGGCCUCCCUCUCCCUCGCCGACCACCAACAAUCUCCAGCCGCUCGCAGCUCCUCACCGGGGCAUCGGGGCCCCUCCUCCGAACAUGCCCGAAAAUAUGUAUACUGAUCCACCACGGUUCAAUUUUUAAAUAGCUAUGCACAUCCCCUGCGGUACAUCUAGGAAUAGACUGAACAAUCAGAUGUAACCUCCAGUUUCUUUUACCAUUUAGAAGAAAACUGGAUGGGCGCGAAAUAUAUAUUGACGUAUGAACAUUUAGAAUAUUAGAUAAACUUCAUCUCACCAGCAUUUCAGCAAAGAAAAGAUCAUCUGGUAAAUACCAUCACCACGAGAAAUUGGAAAUUCUUAGUGAAUUAAGAAACGAGGAAGAAGCAGACAAGAUAAAAUAUAAUUUAAGUUGAUUACAUCAUAAAUAACUAAAUGUCAAUAAUAAAUGUAUAUAACUCCUUUAAAUCACAAAUUUGAAUGAGUGAUUCAUUCAAAUAAAGGAUGAAACUGCAAAAUUCACAUCCAUAUUAUCUGCAAGAAUAGAACUCACAGAGACAAUGCGCUGAUUAUAGUAAAGAGAAUCUAAUAACAAAAGUUAUAGGAAAAAAAUAAUAGCUUGGUGUUACGGUAGUAUCUUGAAACCAGCAAGAAGAAAGCGAGCAUGGACUCUUAAAAGUUCAUUGGGACAGAUAAGCAUGGUAGAUGUCUUUGCACGAGAAGAAUUUAUAUAAAUACUACUUAUAUUCUCUUGCUACACAUGUAAUUCAGUUAAAUAAGAGUUUUCCUCAAAAUCAUCACUCCAAAUUCAUAAAGUGAGACACUUCAGGCUGCUAUCUUAGGUUCAGCAUUUUGGACAUGAAAUAGAAUUCUAGUUUUUAAUUCAAGAAAAAUGACAGAACCUAUGAACAUGAUACGGGGGACAUAAAAAAACACAAAUUAAAUUAACAUAUGCGUUACUGACUUCAGGUACGUGAGCUUAACAUAAACUAACUAAUCAUUUUAACUGUGAGAGUUUAAUAUUUAAACGAAUAGAUCUAAAAUUGAUCAUUUUUUUCUUAACAAGUAGCAAAUCUUAAAAGACAUUCUCCUAGUAUAUCAACCAUUAAGUAACACUUUCAUGAUAUAAAGUGGAAAAGGCGAAACUACAACUAGUGGUAUUUUUAGAACAAAAUACAAGUCACAAAUAUAUCUUCAAAAAAAUUAACAUAGUCGAAUCAAUGAAGCAUUAACAUGAAGAUAUCUCGAAAGCUAAUGAAUCGAAUAGUUCACAUUUACCUAAAUCCACGAUUCAAAUAGAAUUACUUUACGCUUAAAUUAAUAGGAUUUCCUUUAAGUGUAGUAUCAUAUGAAUAGCUUAUUACAAUCAAAAGUAAACAUAUAACAUUAGAAAAACAGAGGAAUCAAUUUAAUAAAUUUCCCGCCAAUGUAACAGCAUCAAAAAAUCUCAAAUCAAAACAUAACUGACACAAAAAAAAGUAUUUAUCUCACAAGCUACCAUAGUUGGACAUUACAAACCGCAAAUCAGCUUAGGCUCAAGGUGUUUGGGUACCUGGUAGGUAUAAUGCUCGACAUGAAGAUAAGAAAGUGAAUGAGAAGAACGAUGCUAGUAAAAAUCUCGAAACCUACAUAAAAAGAGAAGAUUGCGAGUUAAACAACAUCGAGACCUCAAUAACUUUUUAAAGCAACAGUAAAAAAAAUUAUACAUUCAACUGGUUUUCUCCUUGUAUGCUUAAAUCUUUACCUUAUAAAAAAAGAUAUGCUCAAAGAGAUUAUCUACAAGUCUUUCCUUCAAAGAAUAAAGCUAAAACCAAUAUAUAAUUUUAGUAGAAUGCAACAUUUUUUCUAUUCGAACAAUGCUAACUUGUAAUAUAUCUCAGAGAGGUUUCUAACUUGUAAUUAACCGAAUCUAAAAAUUCAAACAAUUGCAGUCCCAGUUUCUCGGCACAAAAAUGCUAAGAGCUAGAUAAGAAGCACAUCAGAUGUGCUAAAGUGUAGUUUACUUUAAAGUGAAUAAGCAGUUGAAAACUUCACACAUCAAAUAGAUGAAAAGGACUAUCAAGAAGAAAAAAUUCUCUAAUACAUGUCCCUAAUCCAUAUCAAGAACUCGGAUAAUUUCAAGAAAUUGAAAAGAAACCAAACUAUACAUGUGAAAAGAAAAUUAUUUUCAUUUUGUUUAAAUAAAAUAUUGAACUCAAUUUGACAGAACUUAAGCAUCAAACAUGAUAGUCUUCUUAUUAAGAUAAUAGGAAAUAACAAUACUAAGAACAACUUAACAACACAAGAGUGAAAUAUUUGCCUCAUCAAUUUAAAUCAAAAAGUAAACAACGUAUGCAGCACAUAAAUUUUAUAUUAUUAUGUUACUGGAGUUUUAUACUUUAAAUUUACUGUGAGCUCACAUCAAUUUUCUUAAGUUUUUAAUUAGGUAAUCUCAGGGGGAAAAUACUCAGCUAACCAAAUACUAAAUAAAUAGUCUUCUCCAAAAACAGAACUACAUUAAGAAGUUGCCUCAAAUACUCAAUAAAUUAUCUUCUUAUAUAUAAAUUCAUAGCACAAAAGUUAAAGAAAUAUCAUCAGAAAUUAUCCAAGACGCACUUCUCAAAAUAUGAAUCACAUCAACUUUAUUAUUUGAACCAAAGAAGAAGGAAUACCAAAGAAGAUGGACAAAUAUUACUAGUUAUAUCAGAGUCGAUAUAUGUUGGCGUCCUUAGAUUUAUAAAUCUCAAAAGCGCACAUGAUUUUUUUUAUACUAAACACUCAUAACUUUUUUUUUCAGAUUUGUUGAAAUAAAUAGCAUGUUCAUUUUCAACCUCUUCCUCCUGGUACAGUCAUAAAAGCUCUGACAGAUGAAUGUUUUUCUAAUAUUACAGAAAAAACAACUGAUUAAUGCACUAGCGGUACUGCUAAUUUUUUUCAUAAAAAAUUAGAGAAGAGUACUGGUCUAUCUCUCAAACACAUGGCAUCUUUUAAGAAAAUAGCUCUAAAUUCAUUCUUAGACCAAAUGCAAGGAAAAACUUCAAAAACUAUUUGAAGCCAGCAAAAAGUAUUUUCCUAAGGAGCCAAGGAGUCCGGAAGAAAACUUUAUGAUCAAUAAUUUUUAAUAGUCAAAAUAUUUUCAAAUCGAUCUCAAAGACAUUGAAUGUGUGCUUGCACUUACGAAGUUCACUAGAAAUUGUUUGCCAUGUGUUGUUAUUUGUUUCCUUCUAUAAAAUCUCAACAAUUAGAGCUCUAGAAUAUAGAAACCGUGAAGUAAAAUCACUAAAUUCUUAAUGCAAUAUAGAAAAUUAUGUUAUAAAAUCAAUUAUGUUGCAACAAUCAGUAAGUGGUAUGAUUUUGAUUUUUGGACAAACAGUUCCAUAGAUUCUUGAAACUAAAAACUUAUAUAAACCAGCAAUACAAAAUUAGAAAAAAUACUAAGAAAGUUCUCAUUCAAGGAAUUAAAUCUUAGGCAAUUGAAAUCCUACACCCAGCAAUUAGAAAUUUUCAUUAAUCCCUAGACCUACCCAAUUGAAAACCUAAAAUUAAAUAUAGAUACUUACCAAGAAUUCUGAUGGUGUUGCCUUCCGCUAUUUGGUUGCCAAUGGAGAUUUUGAGAGUUUGCCGUAUGAAUUUUUUUUCUUUAAUGUAAAUUGUGCCUAGGGUACAAUGCUAUGCGGGAGAGAAUAUAAUUUAGAGGAAAAUUUAGAAAUGGGAGGGAAUAUCAAAAGUCAAAACAAUACUUUUACCGUCU
rnacentral:lncRNA from 1 species